ACGUCGAUGAAAAUAAAUUAUUCAAGACGGAGACUGAGAGCAGGAGCUACGGGAGGGGGGGGGGGGGGGGGGAAGAAAGUUCAUUUCUUCCUUGAGAUGCCCAAACCAAGUGAAGGGGAGGUGGAUAUUAAUAUUUUUCAAUGCGU
ensembl:ncRNA F42D1.12 ncRNA